GACGAACGCUGGCGGCGUGCUUAACACAUGCCAGUCGAACGGAAAGGCCCUGCUUUUGUGGGGUGCUCGUGUGGCGAACGGGUGAGUAACACGUGAGUAACCUGCCCUUGACUUUGGGAUAACUUCAGGGAACUGGGGCGAAUACCGGAUAGGAGCUCCUGCUGCAUGGUGUGGGUUGGAAAGAUUCGGCGGUUGGGGAUGGACUCGCGGCUUAUCCGCUUGUUGGUGGAGUAGUGGCUUACCAAGGCUGUGACGGGUAGCCGGCCUGAGAGGGUGACCGGCCACAAGGGGACUGAGAUACGGCCCAGACUCCUACGGGAGGCAGCAGGGGGGAAUAUUGCACAAUGGGGGGAAGCCUGAUGCAGCGACGCCGCGUGCGGGAUGAUGGGCUUCGGGGUGUAAACCGCUUUCGCCUGUGACGAAGCGUGAGUGACGGUAAUGGGUAAAGAAGCACCGGCUAACUACGUG
rnacentral:rRNA from 1 species